rnacentral:lncRNA from 1 species
CCUUGUUGGCUGUCCUCUCCCUGCUGACCUAAAUGACAAAGGGAGGGGUGUCCAGUCAGAGUGUGAGGGCUGUACCCGUGGGCAGCUGAGGGAGUGCGAGCCACAGGCCAGGCACUCUCCUUCUCCCAUUAGCUCAGCCGUGGCAUCGGACUUGCAGCUUCAUUUUGGGCUGCCUUAGCCAUGAAGCUCCUUUUGCUGACUUUGACUGUGCUGCUGCUCUUAUCCCAGCUGACUCCAGACCUUUCAAAUCCGGAGCCUACUUGUUAGGACUGAUACUGUCUCCCUUCUUUCUGCUUUGUGUCAGGUGGCACCCAAAGAUGCUGGAAUCUUUAUGGCAAAUGCCGUUACAGAUGCUCCAAGAAGGAAAGAGUCUAUGUUUACUGCAUAAAUAAUAAAAUGUGCUGCGUGAAGCCCAAGUACCAGCCAAAAGAAAGGUGGUGGCCAUUUUAACUGCUUUGAAGCCUGAAGCCAUGAAAAUGCAGAUGAAGCUCCCAGUGGAUUCCCACACUCUAUCAAUAAACACCUCUGGCUGA